CACGUAGGGGGCGAGCGUUGUCCGGAUUUAUUGGGCGUAAAGGGCGCGUAGGCGGUCAGCACAAGUCAGUUGUGAAAUCUCCGGGCUUAACUCGGAAAGGUCAACUGAUACUGUGCGACUAGAGUGCGGAAGGGGCAACUGGAAUUCUCGGUGUAGCGGUGAAAUGCGUAGAUAUCGAGAGGAACACCUGCGGCGAAGGCGGGUUGCUGGGCCGACACUGACGCUGAUGCGCGAAAGCCAGGGGAGCGAACGGG
rnacentral:rRNA from 1 species